UUUGCGUUCAGUUGAGAUUCGCGUUUCCAUCGGUCAAGACCCGUCCGCGGUUCGCCUUUUUUUACCUUUAUUUUUUGUGUUCCCGUGUCCGACCACCUCACUUAAGCCACCCUGGGUUCUGGUGUUUGGCCAAGCAAAAGCUUUAAUUGGAUUACGUUUGCGAAAAGUUCGCUGUUGUCGUCGCCAACUGCGUUUUUGCGCUUCUGCAGGUUGCGCGUUUUUUGCUUUUGUAGAAAGUGUCGUGUGUGUUUCUGGACACUUCCCCUGGGCGGCCUCAGGCGGGGGGAAAAAGGUGCCCUGAAAUGUUGUUCCGUCCCGCACGGGACAGGGGAGGCAGAGGACGAAGCAAAACCAGCUUCUGGGCGAGUGUGUGAGUGUGAGUUUUCGUGGGUUUUCGUUGUGUGUUGAGAAGGUGGCCAAGAAUCUUGAAAGGAGGAGAAGGAGAAAGAGUUGUUUGCUGGGUUGCUCCUCCGUGCGCCGUGACCAGCAGCAGCACCAGAAGAAGUUGGCCAAAGCAACUAAUGCAGAAGCAGCAAAAGAAGAGUCGAGUAUUUGUGUGGUGUGCGUGUUUGAGCCGAGAGAAUCAAGUCCAAGAAAGAAGCAAGCCAAAGGCGAAGGUCCGGCGAAGGCAAAUUAAGGGGAAGAGUGCGCCGGGGCCAGGCCAGGUCUGACGCGUGAGUGCUACUCCGUCGACUAAAGUUGCUCAGUGUGAGUGUGGGGCGUAAUCAAAUAUUGAAACACACGACGGGCGAUAAGAGAGUUGGAAGCGUUUUUUUUUAUCGGUUGAAAUUCUGGAUUAAGUUGCUGCUGACCCAGUAUGCUGCGAUUUCUGAGUCGCCGCAAGACCCGAAAUGUGGGACCCGGGUCGGACGUGGCAGACAGUCAGAUCAAGUCACAGCGGAUACCCACCAACAAGAACCUGGUGCCGUGCCGGGUGAUUCUGCUGGACAACACGGACCUGCCGGUGGAUUUGACGAAAAAAGCCCUGGCCGGUGAUUUAUACGAGCAAGUUUUCUACUCGUUGGACCUCAUCGAGAAGGACUACUUUGGGCUGCAGUACACCGAUGCCAACAACGUCAAGCACUGGCUUGAUCCGACGAAAGCGAUCAAGAAGCAGGUCAAAAUUGGCCCUCCGUACACCCUGCGACUCAAAGUAAAGUUCUACUCCUCGAACCGAACACGCUGCGCGAAGAACUUACCCGGUACCAGUUCUUCCUCCAGCUCAAACAGGAUCUCCUCGAUGGCCGGCUCGAGUGUCCGGAUGCGCAAGCCUCCGAGCUGGCCGCGCUGGCCCUUCAAUCUGAGCUGGGCGACUACGACGACACGAUCCACACGGCGGCGACCGUGUCCGAGUUUCGGUUCGUGCCCAACCAGACGGAGGAGCUGGAGCUGGCGAUCUUGGACGAGUACAGAAAGUGCGCCGGCCUGACGCCGGCCCAGGCCGAGACGAGCUUCCUGAACAAGGUCAAGUGGCUGGACAUGUACGGCGUCGACAUGCACACCGUGCUGGGCAAGGACGGCUGCGAGUACCAUCUGGGCCUGACGCCCACCGGCAUCCUGGUGUUCGAAGGCAUCCAGAAGAUCGGCCUUUUCUUCUGGCCCAAGAUCGGCAAGCUGGAUUUCAAAAAGAAGAAGCUCACCCUGGUGGUGGUCGAAGACGACGACCACGGCCGCGAGCAGGAGCACACGUUCGUCUUUCGGUUGCACAACGAGAAAGCCUGCAAGCACCUGUGGAAGUGCGCCGUCGAGCAUCACGCCUUCUUUCGGCUGCGCGCUCCCGUCAAGGGCCCGUCGGCGCGGCAGAACUUUUUUCGGAUGGGCUCCCGCUUCCGAUACUCUGGCAAGACAGAGUUCCAGACAACGCAGCAGAACCGAGCCCGGCGGACGGUCCAGUUCGAGCGGAGGCCCUCGCAGCGUUUCGCCCGACGUCAGUCGCACGUGCUGCGAGACCGCCAAAAGCAGGUCAAUCCCGACCAGCAGCAGCAACAGCCACCGCAACAGUCUGCGUGUACCGCUGACGAUGCUCAGCACUCCACCUCGGGAACGUCAACUCCAUCCGCGAACACGGUGAUCCACAACCACAUCUCUGCGUCGGCCAGCAGUGCGUCCGACAUUGGGCUGCAUGUGGUGAAUGGGAACUGCCGUCGCUCAGCUCGAACAAGUCGAUCUCGAGCAGUGAGGACAUCGCUUACGGGGGCAAGUUGGGAUCGUUCGGGAAGGCCGGCGUCGCGUACAAACCCGAUGAACACGUGGGCAAGCUGAUUGACCACGACGUACCGUUUCUGCGGGCGCCCGGUGGUAGUCACCAUCACGGUGGUUCGUUCGGCAAGGCUUCCAUCAGUUCCGGGUUCAGCAUCCGGACGAACUCGUCCGAUCGGGACAGCCAAAUUGACACGCUGAUGAAGACGAUCGCCAAGGACCCGUCGCCGUCGCUGCACGGCGUAGAGCUGAACGACGCCAGUAGCUUUAAGAUCACCAUCAACAAGACUUCCGAGCUGGAGACGAACAACGACACGCUGAAGAAGUUGGCCGUUUCGGCCACGCCCGAGAAGCCAAACAAUCAGAUCAAGCUGUCGAACGCGGCGAUAACGCCGCUGCCGCCCGGCCAGAUCAAGUGCAAUAUUUUGAAAGCACGCGUCGAAGAAGAACUGCACCCCAAACUGACCAAUCAUCAGCUGUACGUACCAAGUCAACCGCUGCACGAUGGACCGGAUUCGAUGAACGCGGCCACGUUUGUGUCGGUGGGCGGUGACAAGCUAACCCUGAAUCUAACGGGAACCACGACUCCGACGGUCAGCGGUCACACCACCGUAACCACGAUGAUCGGUACCGCAAGUCCGGCAGCCAUAACUCCGGUCACCACACCGACCGCCCUUCCGUUCAAAAGCUUCCUCCCGUCGUCACCACUGCCACCGCCACCGGUCACGCCACCUCCUCUCUCGUUUCCAACACCAGCACGACCGCUGUCCACAACAGUCUCCCAGAUCAAAGCACCUUCCUGCUGAACAACGGAUCGUCCCCGCCGGACAGCGUAACCGUGACGCACUUUUCCGAACAAAGGGCGGCAUCGUGGAGAAAAUCAGCGUUCCUUCCGCCAGCAUUCUGGACGCGGCCCUCACCGUUGAAAAACUCGUCAACCUCAACCCCUUCCUAAGCAUGUCCUCUGGUCCGUCCUCCCCAACCUCCGUAAUCGCGGUGACGACCCCCAGCAAAACCUCCACCAAUCCCUUCCACAACAUCUCCUCGAGCAGUUCUGGCAACUCGGAACCGUCCGAAUCCGUGCCCAGUUCGCCACCCCAGCACCAGCUCGAGUUCAAGAGUAGCAACCCGUUCAAGGACGUGGGCAGCAGGGCGCGCAGCAAAUCCCCGGCUGUAAUUACCAGCCGGGAACAUCCCCAGCGUUAACGGAACUAGCAAAAUAACGGCACUACCGCGGUAGUAGAGCUGAAGGACCUGCGGAGAACGCCCAGCUUUGCUGGCAAGCGACGGUCAGUGGAGCUGGCGGUGCCGGUGGAACCGGUGACUGCGACGACGGUGAUGGUAAGUGAUUCGACGGAUGCUGCUGCUCCACCGGUUAUGGCGGGGAACACGACGACGCACAGCAAUGGAAGUGCGAUGGUUGCGAUGUUGGACGAAAAGAAGGCGGUUCAGGCGACGAUUGCGAAGGAAGCCCUCAAGGAGAACAUCAAGCCCCACUCGAUGCACAUCUCGCCCUGGCUCGUCUCGUCCGACGUCGUGACCGGUUCAGCGAAGGAAGCCACCAUCAUCCGGAAAUCGGUUAUAACCACGCAGCUGUAGGAACUCGACGCGUUUCUUCUUCUUCUUCUUCUUCAUUGAGCUUGUAAAAGCGUUUUAAUUUUACACACGAAAAAAUGUGUAGCAAGAACCUCUAUUGUUUUACGUUUCAAGUACUUAAACCGACUUUAUUUGUUGUAGCAGUAACAAACCAGAGCAGCUUUUGGCAGAAAUGAUGAUGAUCAGCUGCAGCAGCGUCCAAUUAGUAUUAAACGAUCUCAACACAUUCCACCACUGUUUGCCUUCCGCAUUCUCAAGAUCUUUGACAUUGCAAUCCUAUAACUUAGCUGUGAAAUCCAUUUCGGCUUCGAAAGUGGUGCUUUUUCUUCGAAGAAACUAUCAUUCCUGCUUUUUUGUUUGCCUCUAUUAGCGUUAAUCUGUACUAACUAAACCGAAGUACUUGGUAAGAUUUAUCAGAAUCAGUCAGAUUCGCCCCUGCUUAAACUUUGUCGAAGUUGAGUGAUGCUGUCCACAACGAAUUAGUUUGUACCGUUUUUCUUGCACCAUUCAGAGAAGUACUUAACCCCACAUACACACACCUACGUAAACCACAUCGACAGACCGACACAUUAGUUUGUGAAAGUGCACUUAGAGAUUCAGGUGCCAUCAUCAUCUGGAAAACGAAAGGAAGUAAAAGAAAACUGAACGAAUGAGGAAGUAGUUUAGGUGAUAAGUAUUUAUUGAGAGUGUUUGCUGAAACAUAACAUCGGUGAACAACUCUGUAAACAGCGUGUUUGUUUAGCAAAAUGUGAAAUAAUUUUAAAAAUUAUGAUCAUACAGAAAAAAAAAGAUAAACUAGACAACAGGAAACACGCCACGGAAAACGAAUUACAUUAGACUAGACGUAGUGAAAAAUCUAUACUUAUUCACUAUAGCUUGUAGGAGCGGAUUUUAGUGCAGUGCAAGGAACCUUAAAAGCCUUAACAAAGUGAGAACGUGAAUCAAAAUUUUAGCGUGUAAACGUGUAUCUAUUUACAGUCAGAGUAUUUUUAAAAUUGAAAAUUUCUAAAAUUUGAUACAUAUAUACAAUGCAAGCCACACAGAUGAACGCUUGUGUUGUGUACUUUUCAAUAUAUAUUAUAUAUGAAAUGCCUUAUGUUUAUAAUAUGUACUUCGAAACUGAUCAGGAACUAUCGUUGCAUUGAUACUAUUGAUGGAAAACACAACGGGAAACUGUUUGGGAUUGCAUUCAAAAGAAUUGAAUAAAAACAAGAUUGCAGUUCUGGCUCCCAACUAGUUGGCAACUUCCGUAUGCGAAUGAUAGAGAGGAAGGAUAAAUCAAUAACAGAAGUUUAUAUACAUCUAUUUAGAAAACUUUUUGCAACAAGUGAUGAAAUAAUAUCAAUUAAAACCAUGUUUAAUAGCAGUGUACUUGA